rfam:Pteropus vampyrus cont1.243924, whole genome shotgun sequence.
UGUUUACUCUUCCUGUGAAUUGAAGGCCUCCCUGGAGAGGCCGCUGAAUCUAGAGCUGCUUUUAGGGAGCUGUGAGUGGUGCCGGCCUUCUUCCUUAGGAAAGCAGGCAGAUGGGUGAGGCGGAUGGAAGACAAGGCUUCCGUGACACAGACCCAGCUCUGCUGUUCUGAGGUUGUGGGAUCUGGUAAAAAUGGUCCAGAGUUGUUCUGGAUGUCUACUUGGCUUGCUCUUCUCAUUCUUUUGGUCAGUUAUGUCAUCUUUAAUAUUUUUAACCUCAUUAGAUCAUAUUUUGUG